CGGAUAGCUGGGCCAAUGGUUGGCCCAGCACCUCCAGGGUGCCGUGGUUGGCGGUCUGGAUCCCGGCCAGCAAGCCGA
rnacentral:tRNA from 1 species